rnacentral:misc_RNA from 1 species
GGAAAUGUUGAAGAAGGCUAAGGAUGAGUUGGGGGUUGACAUAUUUGAAUCUUUAUUACGAACUUAUAUAGCUUCUGAAAAAAACAAGUCCUAUCAUGCGUCGGCGUAUAAAAAUGGAAAACAUAGAGCUGACUGAUGAAGGUAAAAGAUUGCUGGAUGCUGUUUCUGUGGAGUGAGAUCAUUUAUAAAGUAAUUGACAUGCCUUGAGCUUUCAGAAACUGAAUCGCAGAGAUGUGAGUUUUCAGCAUGUUGUUGCAAUUGAGAUUUUCUAGUUUACUACUCUUUUGAAUGGUUUCUUGGAUUGU